rnacentral:rRNA from 1 species
GACGAACGCUGGCGGCGUGCCUAAUACAUGCAAGUCGAACGCAGUGGGGACGGGUGAGUAACACGUGGGUAACCUCCCAUCAGAGGGGAUAACACUUGGAAACAGGUGCUAAACCGAUACUGAUGGAUGGACCCGCGGUGCAUUAGCUAGUUGGUGAGGUAACGGCUCACCAAGGCCACGAUGCAUAGACGACCGUAGAUGGGGAUCGGGCAACCCUGGAACGGGACAAGGCCCAAGCCUCAUAGGGGGGGCGCAGGAGGGAAUUUUUGGCAAAGGACGAAAGUACGAACGAGGAAAGGCGCGGGAGUUAAAAAGGGUUUCGGGUUGGAAAACUCUGGUGGUAGAGAAGCGGUAUCUAACCAGAAAGCCACGGCUAACUACGUGCCAGCCGCCGCGGUAAUUC